CUUUAGCCCCGACAGCAGUGGCAUCCUUUUGCUUUUUUCUUUAAAAAGUAAAAGAUAGAGCGUAUGGCGGGACAAACC
rnacentral:sRNA from 1 species